AUUGAACGCUGGCGGCAUGCCUUACACAUGCAAGUCGAACGGCAGCACGGGUGCUUGCACCUGGUGGCGAGUGGCGAACGGGUGAGUAAUACAUCGGAACAUGUCCUGUGGUGGGGGAUAGCCCGGCGAAAGCCGGAUUAAUACCGCAUACGAUCUACGUAUGAAAGCGGGGGACCUUCGGGCCUCGCGCCAUAGGGUUGGCCGAUGGCUGAUUAGCUAGUUGGUGGGGUAAAGGCCUACCAAGGCGACGAUCAGUAGCCGGUCUGAGAGGACGACCAGCCACACUGGGACUGAGACACGGCCCAGACUCCUACGGGAGGCAGCAGUGGGGAAUUUUGGACAAUGGGCGAAAGCCUGAUCCAGCAAUGCCGCGUGUGUGAAGAAGGCCUUCGGGUUGUAAAGCACUUUUGUCCGGAAAGAAAUCCUUGGCCCUAAUACGGUCGGGGGAUGACGGUACCGGAAGAAUAAGCACCGGCUAACUACGUG
rnacentral:rRNA from 1 species